rnacentral:rRNA from 1 species
AUGGCGGCGGCGAUGGUGUGGGUGCCGAUACUGGAGGAGGGGGUGUUCCGGUUCGACGCGUCGGAGGCCGCGCGCGCGGCGGCCGGGCCCAGCCUCUCGUUCGCCGAGCCGCACCGCCGGGAGGUGGUGCUGCGCGAUGGCGCCGGCCGCCCCGCGGUCGUGCCGGAGUGCGAGGUGGUGGGCGACGACGUCCACAGGGUUCUCAUCAAGCUUCCUUUUGGGACAUCUUUCUACGGCACAGGAGAAGCAAGUGGCCCACUUGAACGAACCGUGAAACGAGUUUUCACCUGGAACACAGAUGCAUGGGGAUACGGGUCAGGAACCACUUCACUAUAUCAAUCACACCCUUGGGUGUUGUCCAUCCUCCCAGAUGGAAAGAGUCUCGGUGUCCUAGCUGAUAACACACGCCGUUGCGAGAUUGACUUGAGACAAGAAUCUACUAUAAAGUUUGCUGCCCUGUCUGCUUACCCUAUCAUUACUUUUGGGCCAUUUGAUACACCAGCUCAAGUGGUGUCAUCCUUGUCUCACACGAUUGGAACUGUGUCCAUGCCUUCAAAAUGGGCUCUUGGCUAUCAUCAAUGUCGCUUUAGCUACAAGUCUUCCGAGAGAGUCCUUGAGGUUAUUAGAACAUUUAGGGAGAAAGGCAUUCCUUGUGAUGUGGUUUGGAUGGAUAUUGACUACAUGGACGGUUUUAGAUGCUUCACAUUUGACAAUAACCGUUUCGCUGAUCCAAAAUCUAUGGUUGAUGAUCUACAUUCCAUCGGUUGUAAAUCAAUCUGGAUGCUUGACCCGGGAAUAAAGGAAGAGAAGGGUUACUUUGUGUAUGAUAGUGGUUCAGAAAAUGAUGUGUGGAUUAAAAAGGCAGAUGGUAGCCCAUUCAUUGGGGAAGUAUGGCCUGGUGACUGCGUUUUCCCGGAUUUCACCAGUGAAAGAAUCCGCACAUGGUGGGCUAGAUUAGUAAGGGAUUUCAUCUCCAACGGCGUUGAUGGAAUAUGGAAUGAUAUGAACGAGCCUGCUAUGACAACUACUACCAAAACAAUGCCUGAGAGCAAUAUACAUAGAGGAGAUACUGAUAUUGGUGGUGUCCAGAAUCAUUCUUACUAUCAUAAUGUUUAUGGAAUGCUAAUGGCAAGAUCUACUUAUGAAGGAAUGGUGAUGUCCAAUGCAGAAAAACGGCCAUUCGUUCUUACACGAGCUGGUUUCAUAGGAAGCCAGCGAUAUGCUGCAACAUGGACUGGUGAUAAUCUCUCAAACUGGGAGCAUUUGCACAUGAGUCUAUCAAUGGUUCUUCAGUUGGGUUUGAGCGGUCAGCCGCUGUCGGGUCCUGAUAUUGGUGGUUUUGCUGGAAAUGCUACUCCAAGACUUUUUGGAAGAUGGAUGGGAGUGGGUGCGUUGUUUCCUUUCUCACGUGGCCAUUCUGAAGCUGGAACCGUUGAUCAUGAGCCAUGGUCCUUUGGUGAAGAGUGUGAGGAAGUUUGUCGUCUCGCGUUACUGAGGCGGUAUCGGCUACUGCUACACAUCUACACUCUGUUUUAUGUUUCACAUAAGAAGGGUACUCCAGUUGCUGCGCCACUUUUCUUUGCUGGAAAAAUUGAGACUUCGUUUCUCCUGGGGCCACUUUUAGUUUGUGCAAGCACUUUACCUGAUAAAGGAGCUCAUGAAUGUGCACAUAAGUUGCCAAAUGGCAUCUGGUUACCUUUUGAUUUUGGAGAUUCACACCCCGAUCUGCCGAUGCUGUAUUUAAGAGGUGGAGCAAUACUUCCUGUAGGCCUUCCUAUUCAGCAUGUUGGUGAAGCAAGUUUAGAGGACAAUUUAUCACUACUUGUUGCACUGGAUGAAAAUGGUAAAGCAGAAGGAGUCUUGUUCGAGGAUGCCGGGGAUGGAUACGGGUUCACACAGGGAGACUAUCUGCUUCUGAAAACCGAAGGAUCCUGGAAGAGACCAAACCGUAACUUAAACAUAAGUAUAUUGCUUGGUGGAGGUGCUAUGAUAAGUUCACGUGGUGUGGAUGGUGAAGAUGUGCAUUGUACGAUGCCUUCUGAGUUUGAAGUGUCCAGCUUGGUUGCAACAACUGAACUUGAUCUCAAGGAACGCUUAAAGACAAUUCGUCCUAUACCUGAUAUGGACGAGUCAUCAGGACAGGAAGGCGCUGAGCUCUCAGAAACACCUAUUGUUUUGAAGAGUGGGGACUGGUUUCUUAAGAUUGUACCAUGGAUUGGCGGCCGUAUUAUUUCGAUGACUCAUCUUCCUUCUGAUUCCCAGUGGCUGCAUAGCAGAAUUGAAAUUCAUGGUUAUGAGGAGUACAGUGGGACUGAAUAUAGGUCUGCUGGCUGCACAGAAGAGUACAAGAUCAUUAGGGGGCAUCUGGAGCAAUCAUGCGUGGAGGAAUCUAUUUGUCUGGAAGGAGAUAUUGGGGGUGGACUGGUUCUUCAACGCCACAUAUCUAUUCUGAAAGGCAAUCCCAAGAUUUUCCAGAUUGACUCUAGCAUUCAAGCAAGAAGUGUUGGGCCUGGCUCUGGUGGAUUCUCAAGGUUGGUCUGUUUGCGAGUCCGUCCCACUUUUACGCUUCUACACCCUACUGCGGCCGUUGUUGCUUUCACGGCCAUCAAUGGUUCAACGCAAGAGAUCUCUUUAGAUUCCGGAGAAGUGACACUCGAGGGAGGCCUCCGACCGAACGGGGAGUGGACGCUGGUGGAUAAGUGUUCAGGACUGAGCAUGGUAAACCGUUUCGAUCACCGUCAGGUUAGCAAAUGUUUGGUGCAUUGGGGAACUAGUGAUCUGAAGAUGGAGCUCUGGUCUGAUGAGAGGCCAGUUUCGGAAGACACGCCGUUGAGGAUCUGCCACCAGUAUGAGGUGACACAAACAUGA